GCUCUGGAGAAGCUCACACCCGAUGUGAGGGCCGAAGGUGCAAAACCUUGCUUUGCAAGGCGAAUCUCUCAGGCAAAAGGACAGGGA
rnacentral:ncRNA from 1 species